GAAUACACCUAUAUUUAUUAUUAAAAAAAAGUCUGGAAAGUGGCAGUUAUUACAUGAUCUAUGGGCCAUUAAUGCUCACAUGCAGCUCAUGGGACCCAUCCAGAGAGGUUUGCCUUUACUUUCAACAAUUCCUAAAAAUUGGCCAGUAAUAGGUAUAGACAUUAAAGAUUGUUUCUUUUCCAUUCCAUUGCAUCCUCAGGACACUGAACGUUUUGCUUUUAC
rnacentral:sRNA from 1 species